ACAGAAAUCUACGUUUUUUUCGUUAUUUCAGAAAAUGGGCACUUUCAAGGUUGACUGGGAAAGGGCUGUCGAACUGGAUGCGUUUGAUUUGGUUUACAUCGAGUGCAGUUAGCUAGCUAACGUUAACGUAGCCUCUUAGGCUGGCUGGCAAUAGAGGAGAGCUGCAGGUCCCUGGAAAGAGAGGAGAGAGGGCCUCGUAACACCCAGUGCUGGAGAUCACCCUAACUCCACAUGGCUCUGUGCUAUGCGGUGGACCCAAACUAAGUGUAGCACAGGAGGCUGCUGAGGGGAGGACGGCUCAUAAUAAGGACUGGACUGGACCAUGUGUUCGAUUACAUUCCAUUAAUUCUGUUCCCCAACCAUUACCAUGAGCCCGACCUACAAAAAUUAAAGUGCCACCGGCCACCUGUGGAGCGCAGUUGUCCGUCAAGUGUGCAGGACCUGUCCCUUCCCCACGCCCUCCUGCACCGCCAGGACCCACCGUGAACGCCUCCCCACCAUCGUAUCCAUGACCUGCUGCUCAACACACGAGGCCCGGUCAGUGGUCAAAAACAUACUGCUACUUCCUACCUGACGGGUAAGAGGACAUCACUACUUACAUAAUCAAUCAAUCUUGCAAAUUGAAAUACUGAUCAAAAAUAUAAACGCAACAUGCAAGAAUUUCAAAGAUUUUAUGGCAUUACAGUUCAUUUAAGGAAAUCAGUCAAUUGUGAAAAAAAUCAUUAGGCCCUAAUCUAUUGAUUUCACGUCAGUUGGUCACAAGAUGCCUUUAAAAGAAAAGUCACCACAACAGCACGUCAAUGGGACUCAGGAUCUCGUCACAGUAUCUCUGUGCAUUCAAACUGACAUCGAUAAAAUGCAAUUGUUUGUUGUCCAUAGCUAAUGCCUGCCCAUACCAUAAUCCCACCGCCACUAUCAGCACUCUGUUCACGACAUUGACAUCAGCAAAUCGCUCGCCCACAUGACGCCAUACACGUGGUCUGCGGUUGUGAGCUCGAUUAGACAUACUGCCAAAUUCUUUAAAAUUAUGUUGAACAUUCAAGUCUCUGGGAACAGCUCUGGACAUUCCUGCAGUCAGCAUGCCAAUUACACGCUCCCUGAAAACUUGAGACAUCUGUGGCAUU